rnacentral:rRNA from 1 species
AUUGAACGCUGGCGGUAGGCCUAACACAUGCAAGUCGAACGAGCGGCGGACGGGUGAGUAAUGUAUGGGAAUCUGCCCGAUGGAGGGGGAUAACUACUGGAAACGGUGGCUAAUACCGCAUACUAUCGGAUGACCCCAUAUGGGAUUAGCUAGUUGGUGGGGUAAAGGCUCACCUAGGCGACGAUCUCUAGCUGGUCUGAGAGGAUGAUCAGGCACACUGGGACUGAGACACGGCCCAGACUCCUACGGGAGGCAGCAGUGGGGAAUAUUGCACAAUGGGCGAAAGCCUGAUGCAGCCAUGCCGCGUGUAUGAAGAAGGCCUUAGGGUUGUAAAGUACUUUCAGCGGGGAGGCGUUACCCGCAGAAGAAGCACCGGCUAACUCCGUGCCAGCAGCCGCGGUAAUUC